rnacentral:rRNA from 1 species
AACGAACGCUGGCGGCAUGCCUAACACAUGCAAGUCGAACGAGACCUUCGGUUCUAGUGGCGCACGGGUGCGUAACGCGUGGGAACCUGCCCUUAGGUUCGGAAUAACUCCCCGAAAGGGGUGCUAAUACCGGAUAAUGUCUUCGGACCAAAGAUUUAUCGCCUUUGGAUGGGCCCGCGUUGGAUUAGCUAGUUGGUAGGGUAAAAGCCUACCAAGGCGACGAUCCAUAGCUGGUCUGAGAGGAUGAUCAGCCACACUGGGACUGAGACACGGCCCAGACUCCUACGGGAGGCAGCAGUGGGGAAUAUUGGACAAUGGGCGAAAGCCUGAUCCAGCAAUGCCGCGCGAGUGAUGAAGGCCUUAGGGUUGUAAAGCUCUUUUACCCGGGAUGAUAAUGACAGUACCGGGAGAAUAAGCUCCGGCUAACUCCGUG